GAGUCGACCCCUAAGGCGAGGCCGAAAGGCGUAGUCGAUGGGAAACAGGUUAAUAUUCCUGUACUUGGUGUUACUGCGAAGGGGGGACGGAGAAGGCUAUGUUGGCCGGGCGACGGUUGUCCCGGUUUAAGCGUGUAGGCUGGUUUUCCAGGCAAAUCCGGAAAAUCAAGGCUGAGGCGUGAUGACGAGGCACUACGGUGCUGAAGCAACAAAUGCCCUGCUUCCAGGAAAAGCCUCUAAGCAUCAGGUAACAUCAAAUCGUACCCCAAACCGACACAGGUGGUCAGGUAGAGAAUACCAAGGCGCUUGAGAGAACUCGGGUGAAGGAACUAGGCAAAAUGGUGCCGUAACUUCGGGAGAAGGCACGCUGAUAUGUAGGUGAAGUCCCUCGCGGAUGGAGCUGAAAUCAGUCGAAGAUACCAGCUGGCUGCAACUGUUUAUUAAAAACACAGCACUGUGCAAACACGAAAGUGGACGUAUACGGUGUGACGCCUGCCCGGUGCCGGAA
rnacentral:rRNA from 1 species